rnacentral:rRNA from 1 species
AUGAGCGUCUUGUCGACGGUGAGCUUGUUGAGCGUCAGCGUGCCCGUCUUGUCGCUGCACAGCACGUCCAUGCCGGCCAUCUCCUCGAUGGCGGUCAUGCGCUUGGUGAUGGCGCCCUGCUGCGACAGCCGGUGGGAGCCGAUGGCCAUGGUGACGGACAGCACGGUGGGCAUGGCGAUGGGGAUGCCGCCGAUGAGGAGCACGAGCAGGUUGUCGAUGCCGUCGCGGUAG